rnacentral:rRNA from 1 species
GAUGAACGCUGCGGCGUGCUUAACACAUGCAAGUCGAACGGAAAGGCCACAGCUUGCUGUGGUACUCGAGUGGCGAACGGGUGAGUAACACGUGGUUGAUCUGCCCUGUACUUCGGGAUAAGCUUGGGAAACUGGGUCUAAUACCGGAUAGGAAUCACAUGUGGGUGUGUGGUUGGAAAGCUUUUGCGGUAUGGGAUGAGCUCGCGGCCUAUCAGCUUGUUGGUGGGGUAAUGGCCUACCAAGGCGUCGACGGGUAGCCGGCCUGAGAGGGUGUACGGCCACAUUGGGACUGAGAUACGGCCCAGACUCCUACGGGAGGCAGAAGUGGGGAAUAUUGCACAAUGGGCGCAAGCCUGAUGCAGCGACGCCGCGUGGGGGAUGACGGCCUUCGGGUUGUAAACUCCUUUCGUCAGGGCCGAAGCGAAAGUGACGGUACCUGGAUAAGAAGCACCGGCUAACUACGUG